rnacentral:rRNA from 1 species
GAUGAACGCUGGCGGCGUGCUUAACACAUGCCAGUCGAACGGAAAGGCCGAAGCUUGCUUCGGUACUCGAGUGGCGAACGGGUGAGUAACACGUGGGUGAUCUGCCCUGUACUUCGGGAUAAGCUUGGGAAACUGGGUCUAAUACCGGAUAUGACAAUCUCUUGGAUGGGGUUGUGGAAAGCUUUUGCGGUAUGGGAUGAGCUCGCGGCCUAUCAGCUUGUUGGUGGGGUAAUGGCCUACCAAGGCGUCGACGGGUAGCCGGCCUGAGAGGGUGUACGGCCACAUUGGGACUGAGAUACGGCCCAGACUCCUACGGGAGGCAGCAGUGGGGAAUAUUGCACAAUGGGCGCAAGCCUGAUGCAGCGACGCCGCGUGGGGGAUGACGGCCUUCGGGUUGUAAACUCCUUUCGCAACCGACGAAGCUUUUUGUGACGGUAGGUUGAGAAGAAGCACCGGCUAACUACGUG